rnacentral:lncRNA from 1 species
AUAUGCUGGUUUCAUGCAUAAUUAAUUACCUGCCAUGUAGGCAAAUCACUGAGAUGGCACUGCAUUUAGGAGGGGAACAAAGAGAGAGAUCUCGUUUCACUGUGAUGAAAUGAGUUGUACCUAGUUUCCAACACCUUGAAACGGGCCGACACUGCAUUGAGAGCCUCCGGUUUCAUCGUCGUAAGGACAAAUAUAUGUAGAGCUCCACGAAGCGAAGAUCGGUUGGAAAUUCCAACCGGGACUAGGGGGGGUUUUGUCCCGAUUGGAAUUUCCAACUAGGACAUUUUCACGCGCGCGCCCCCAACCCCCCUUCUCUCUCCACCUUAUCUCCUCCUCUUCCUUUCUUUAUCUCGCAGAUGCUAACUCUCCG